rnacentral:rRNA from 1 species
GAGUGAAGAGGGAAGAGCUCAUCAUUGGAAUCUGGCAGCGUCUCGCUGUCCGAGUUGUAGAUGAGAAGAGUGGGCCAUCUGGACUGCAUGGUGUCCAAGUACAAUAGGCCGUCAGUGGGACAUCAUAGAGGGUGACAAUCCCGUCCUUGACACCAAUGUACGAGUCCUUUUACGAUGCCUAUCUCGGAGAGUCGAGCAGUUUGGGAUUUGCUGCUUAAACAUGGGAGGUAGAUUCCUUCCAAAGCUAAAUACAGGCAAGAGACCGAUAGAGAACAAGUACCGCAAGGGAAAGAUGAAAUAGAACUCUGUGAAGGGAGUCAAAAGACGUGAAAUUGUUGCGAGAGAAGCGAUUCAAGUCAGCGUAGCUGGGCCCAUCAAGCCUCGCGCUUUGGACCAGCUUUGCCAGCGGUCUUGUCCUAGAGACUCGACUAAGGUGCCCUGCCCGGUCUGACGGGCAGACCUUCCCCCCUGGGGGAGGCCAGCGGCACGGCUGGUGGAAUGGCUUGCAAUCGACCCGUCUUGAAACACGGACCAAGGAGUCUAACAUGCAUGCGAGUAUAAGGGUGGCAAACCCGUAUGCGCAAAGAAAGUGAUAGCCUUUACGGCUGUGAAUGACCUGAUGACCAGACAAGCGAUAUCAUGUCCCUCGUACGGUCAUUGCCCAAGUCCCGUGGUCAGAUCCCAUGGACAUGGAGUUGGAGCGUGCAUGCUAGGACCCGAAAGAUGGUGAACUAUGCCUGGACAAAGCGAAGCCAAAGGAAACUCUGGUGGAGGCUUGUAGCGAUUCUGACGUGCAAAUCGAUCGUCUGAUCUGGGUAUAGGGGCGAAAGACUA